AUUGAACGCUGGUGGCAUGCUUUACACAUGCCAGUCGAACGGUAACAGGCCGCAAGGUGCUGACGAGUGGCGAACGGGUGCGUAAUGCAUCGGAACGUGCCCAGUCGUGGGGGAUAACUACUCGAAAGAGUAGCUAAUACCGCAUACGAUCUAUGGAUGAAAGCGGGGGACCGUAAGGCCUCGCGCGAUUGGAGCGGCCGAUGUCAGAUUAGGUAGUUGGUGGGGUAAAGGCUCACCAAGCCAACGAUCUGUAGCUGGUCUGAGAGGACGACCAGCCACACUGGGACUGAGACACGGCCCAGACUCCUACGGGAGGCAGCAGUGGGGAAUUUUGGACAAUGGGCGCAAGCCUGAUCCAGCAAUGCCGCGUGCAGGAAGAAGGCCUUCGGGUUGUAAACUGCUUUUGUACGGAACGAAACGGCUCUGGUUAAUACCCGGGGCUAAUGACGGUACCGUAAGAAUAAGCACCGGCUAACUACGUG
rnacentral:rRNA from 1 species